rnacentral:lncRNA from 1 species
AUGGAAUCACGGCGGGGAGGGGACCGCGCUGCCCCUGCUUUGGCGAUGCGCUUUGGCGGUGCCAAGCACGCACUGAGCCGCAAUCACAGCAACGAGGAGCAGCAACAACCCAGGAGCCAACGCCACAGCCAACCCCACGGCUGGCAGCUGCUGCACCUCCCGGCCCCGCACAGCCCCCCCUGCAUCCCAGCACCGCGCUGCGUCCUCGAAAGGAAUUCCAGCGGCUGCUCCGGAGCUUCCCCAGCGAUCGCUGCCUCCUGGCAGCACCCGCGCGCGGUGCCCAGCGCUGACCAACGCCCGCUCCCACGCGCGGCCCCGCUGCCACCUGCGGGGUUUGGGACCCGGAGCUGCGCCCGCUGCUCAAUGAUGGGAGCCGCUCUCACGGUCCUGCCGGCUCCCAAAAGUUAUCCGCGCUGGAAGGCAAAACGACGGCAGGGCACGGGGAGGGGGAGCGCGGCGCGGCCGUUGGGACUUCCCGCUGAGCAUCACCGCCGGCACCCGGCCCGGAUGGGGAAGUUCUGCGAUUCUGUCCCCGGGGCCAAACUUCGCCCUCCUCCUCUGCUUUCCCCCCACGCCCCCCGGUGCCCGCAGUGCCCCUCCGCCCACCGGGCAGCACCGACCCUCGCCCACCCGCGGGGCAGCAGCCGUGCGCGGAGCUCCCCAUCCGCGGGCGGGGUGGGAUGCUGGGGUCCGGAGGCCCCGGUUCGUACCUGCGGCUGUGGGCCGGGCCGGGCCGGGCGGGUCGGGAGACGGCGGGUGCGGCGUUGGGGCCCGCAGGGCGCUCGGGGACUUUUGUUGGCGGCGAGGGGAGGCGGCGCUUCGCGCUCAGCGCCAGCACGGCCUGAUGUCACUGCCCCGGGCGGAGGAGGAGGAGGAGGAAGAGGAAGGCACGGCGGCCGUCAGCCUCGCGGCGCCCAUCACGGCACGAUGCCACCCCCAGCGCUCCCAGCGUCACCCCCGGCGCUCUCUGCCACCUCGCUGCCACCCGCUGUCCCCUCUGCUCCCACACGCAGCACCCCGCGCUGCCCAACCAUCACCCAGCACCCACCGCUGCACCGCAUCCCUCAGUGCCACAUCCGCACAGCUCCGACACUGGGAGCUCCACCCCCUCCCUCAGUCAGCCCGUGCCAACGCUCGGACAUCCUCUCUGCAAAUAAAUGCUCCCUAACAUUCAAUUUAAACCUCCCAUCCAAAGGGGCCUGA